rnacentral:rRNA from 1 species
ACUCCUACGGGAGGCAGCAGUGGGAAUAUUGGACAAUGGGCGAAAGCCUGAUCCAGCCAUGCCGCGUGUGUGAAGAAGGCCUUCGGGUUGUAAAGCACUUUCAGUGAGGAAGAAAGCCUAGUGGUUAAUACCCACUAGGAAAGACAUCACUCGCAGAAGAAGCACCGGCUAACUCCGUGCCAGCAGCCGCGGUAAUACGGAGGGUGCAAGCGUUAAUCGGAAUUACUGGGCGUAAAGCGCGCGUAGGUGGCUUGAUAAGCCGGUUGUGAAAGCCCGGCUGCAACCUGGGAACGGCAUCCGGAACUGUCAAGCUAGAGUGCAGGAGAGGAAGGUAGAAUUCCCGGUGUAGCGGUGAAAUGCGUAGAGAUCGGGAGGAAUACCAGUGGCGAAGGCGGCCUUCUGGACUGACACUGACACUGAGGUGCGAAAGCGUGGGUAGCAAACAGGAUUAGAUACCCUGGUAGGCUCUG